AACACUGUUAUGUUGUCACUAAGCCUACUAAAGGUGACUGGUAUCAAUCUAUAUUAGUCCUUCUGUCGUUGCAAUACAGUACAAUGGUUCAAAGACGCAUAAACUGGUUACCUAUUUACAACAGCUAGCUAUGUCUCCUGGUGGUCCAGUGGUAUUCGGGCUUGACUAGCAAAUCAGAGGCCCGAGGAUCGAUCCCCGGCAUGAGUGAACUUUUUGUAUGUUUUAUUGGUGUGUUUUAAAUAUUGGAGCAAUGUAAAUGUUAGAUUUAAAAAAUAAAGUUUGCGGUCAUGUCGAGAAAAAGUUGAAACGGAGACUUGAACUUGCAACGGUGAGUCAAGUAGACAUCGAUCUUCCACUGUUGUGAUAUAAUAUCGUAAAAACGAAUUUAUCGAAAUAAGUAAUUUGAAAUAGACGUCUAGACAUCCUGCCAGUGGAAGUGAAUUUAUAUUUAUAAUAUUUUGGUUAUUUUGUGAGUGCCGUCUCAACUGUAUCAAGGGCGUAUCGACAUGCCCUUUUGGUUCACGGCUAUUAAAGUAUUUAUAACCGAAUGACUGAGCUGGCCGUUACAAAGGCAGUGGUUUGGAUGGGUACCACGUCGUACAACUGACGGAAACUCUCCUGGCGUCCAACACUUAGUUUAGUGCUUAGUUUUAGUUAGAUCUAAUAAACGUAGUUAAUAAG